rnacentral:pre_miRNA from 1 species
AUAUGCCUGGCUCCCUGUAUGCCACUCGCGUAGCUGCCAACUCUGAGUUGAAACACUGCCUUCUUCUCCCGUCGUCGAGAGCAGGCAUUGUUCGUACGUUGGCUCUACCGCGGAUGGCGUGCGAGGAGCCAAGCAUGA